AUCUUAUAGUCAACAAUGACAUUAAAUUGCAAAUUUAAAAGUAAAAAAAAAUUUUUAAGAUUUU
rnacentral:tRNA from 1 species